CAACAGUUUUUAACAUUGAUCAUAAUAAAUGUAGCUUGAGCACCAAAAUGGCAUAUUAGGAUGAUUAAGAUAUACACAAAUAAGAUGUACAAAAAAAUUGCUGAAUAAGUGAACACUUACACAAUAUGUUGUUCCCUGAAUGCAAUAUAAAUUGCUUGGAAUAAAGUGUCUCCCAAAUGCAUGCAUGUAAUCUAACAAUAUGGUCUUUAGGAUACU